AUACUUACCUGGCAGAGAAAAUAUUAUGACCUCGAAGGUGGUUUUCUCAGGUUGAGGCUUAUCUGUUGUACUUCGAAUUUGUUGACGCCUCCCAUUUCCCCAAAUGUGAGAAACUCGACUGCAAAAUUUGUGAUAGUGGGGGAUUGCGUUCGCGCCUUCCCCUG
rnacentral:snRNA from 1 species